UAGGGAAUCUUCCACAAUGGACGCAAGUCUGAUGGAGCAACGCCGCGUGAGUGAAGAAGGUUUUCGGAUCGUAAAGCUCUGUUGUUGGUGAAGAAGGAUAGAGGCAGUAACUGGUCUUUAUUUGACGGUAAUCAACCAGAAAGUCACGGCUAACUACGUGCCAGCAGCCGCGGUAAUACGUAGGUGGCAAGCGUUGUCCGGAUUUAUUGGGCGUAAAGCGAGCGCAGGCGGAAUGAUAAGUCUGAUGUGAAAUCCCACGGCUCAACCGUGGAACUGCAUCGGAAACUGUCAUUCUUGAGUGCAGAAGAGGAGAGUGGAAUUCCAUGUGUAGCGGUGGAAUGCGUAGAUAUAUGGAAGAACACCAGUGGCGAAGGCGGCUCUCUGGUCUGCAACUGACGCUGAGGCUCGAAAGCAUGGGUAGCGAACAGG
rnacentral:rRNA from 1 species